rnacentral:misc_RNA from 1 species
ACAUGCAGCUGUAAUAUCAUAAGCUAAAGGAUUUGUUUUGCAGCGUAGUGCCUUUUGUAUCUGAAAUUUUAGAAAAAUUUAUGUAAGGUUCUUGCGAUGAAAAGCUAAUAUUGGGUUAGAUUAAUUGAAGUAUUAGUGCCAAAAGCUUUAGAAUGUGUUACCCAAGAGUAAGAAGCUAGAAAUAGAGGUGUCGGUCGGUUCGGUUCAAAUAACCAAAUAACCGAACUAGAAAAUUAUACAAACCGAACUGAACCGGAGUAUGGAGAAAACCAAAUUAAACCGAACCGAAAAUUUUCGGUUUGGUUCAGUUCAGUUUUUCAGUUCCCUACUCCAUCUCUCUCAGCCAACGCAGCAGUGCCAGUGAAUGCACAAACCCAAGCCAAUCCCCAGCAAUAAAAAAAACACAACAAUAAAAAAAAAAAAUCAGCCAUUAACAAAAAUGUUCAACAAAAUCAAUACCCAAUUCUAUUCAAAAAUAAAAAACACAAAUCCCCAAUUGAAUCAAUGUGAUCAAACAUAAAACAUGAAAUUGAACAAAACCCAAGUAUUCAACAAUCAAAUUGAGACACAUAACAUGAAAUCCAACAAAAAAAAGCAAUCCUUCUCAUCUUCAAGACUUAGAUCAGAAGAGAAGGAGAGAAGCAGAAGGCCGUCGAUGGGUCUUCGUCUUCACGACUUAGAGGAAAGCCAUUGUCUUUGUCUCCAUGACUUGGUAAUGCAGUAUGGGAAGAUUGAAUUUAGGAAUUAUUCUCAUUGU